UUGCCCAAUGAUUAUAGCAAGACGCGUUAUUAUGAGGACUAAUGCUGGAACUCUUUCUCCUCCUCCUCAUUCUCCUCCGUCUUUGUCCCUCCUCUUUCACCUUUUUCCCCCACCUCCCUCACUUUCCUUAGGGUAUCCAGCGUCCUAUGAGCAAGACUGAGAUAUGAGGGCAA